AGAACGAACGCUGGCGGCAUGCCUAAUACAUGCAAGUCGAACGAACUCUUCGGAGUUAGUGGCGCACGGGUGCGUAACGCGUGGGAAUCUGCCCUUGGGUUCGGAAUAACAGUUGGAAACGACUGCUAAUACCGGAUGAUGACGAAAGUCCAAAGAUUUAUCGCCCAGGGAUGAGCCCGCGUAGGAUUAGCUAGUUGGUGAGGUAAAGGCUCACCAAGGCGACGAUCCUUAGCCUGGUCUGAAGGGAGUAGAG
rnacentral:rRNA from 1 species